UUAUUUCAUAUUACGUAUUUAUGUAUUUGUCAAGUAAGACUUGAAAAGAGAGCUAUUAUUUUGUUUUAAGUUGAUAUGCUAAUACAGAAGAGGCAUUAUGUAACCGUAUUUUCUUUAAAUAACAGUGAUCUUGCAAAGCAGCUGGUUCCAGGUCCCUCGAUUGAAAAAACAGGCAAAGACAUCGAGGGGCUUCCGAGACAGACACAUGCAAAUGACUGUGGCAUUUUUAUGAUAAUGGUAAGCUUUCAAACAUGGAACUUUCCAAUUAGCUGAACAUAUUUUCAGUACCUUAACCUGUUUAAUGUUUCUGACACAGUACGCCUGGUACCUCAUUCUUAGUGCUCCAUUUGACUUCACUGUUGUAAGUUGAACCGAUAAUUUGAUCGUUACAGUUCCUGUAAGUUUGACAAACUAGUGUGGAUAUUUAAAGUAACAGCAACAUACAUGUACAUGAAGUGAAUCAUUGUGGAUUUGUGGAAUGUGCUCUUCCUAUAAGGACGACAUGCCAGUUCUGUGGAGAUGGUGGUGUUCCGUUAUUAUGGAAAACCUAAUCCUGGAAGGGCAUGGGAGAAGGUUUGCCCAUUUCACUAAGGAGGGAAGGGACAUGAUUUCUGGCCGUCUUUCACCUGUUUUCCGACUGAAGCGGAAAAGAACAGAUGAUGAAGACACAGAUGUAAGAAUAUGUGACAACAAC